rnacentral:tRNA from 1 species
GUGUCCGUAGCUCAAUUGGAUAGAGCGUCAGAUUCCGGUUCUGAAGGUUGCAGGUUCAAGUCCUGUCGGGCAUGCCA